rnacentral:rRNA from 1 species
UAGUCCCUGACGGCGUACCUCUUGUAUAAUGGACGAGCGACUUAGUGUGUGCAGCAAGCUUAAGCCGAUGUGUAGGCGUAGCGAAAGCAAGUCUGAAUAGGGCGACAAGUUGCACGUAUUAGACCCGAAACGAGGUGAUCUAGCCAUGGCCAGGUUGAAGGUUGGGUAACACCGGCUGGAGGACCGAACCGACCACUGUUGAAAAAGUGGCGGAUGAGCUGUGGUUAGGGGUGAGAGGCCAAUCAAACUUCGUUAGAGCUGGUUCUCCGCGAAAACUAUUUAGGUAGUGCCUCGGACGAAUACCGUGGGGGGUAGAGCACUGGAUGGACUAGGGGGGCCCAAAGCCUUACCAAAUCUAACCAAACUCCGAAUACCCAUGAGUACUAUCCGGGAGACAGACUGCGACAGCUAACUGCCGUAGUCGAGAGGGAAACAACCCAGAUCUACAGCUAAGGUCCCCAAAUCAUGAUUAAGUUGGGAAGCAUGUGAGACGGCCAUAACAACCAGGAGGUUGGCUUAGAAGCAGCCAUCCUUUAAAGAAAGCGUAAUAGCUCACUGGUCUAAAUAAGCUAUCUUGCGGCGAAAAUGUACCGGGGAUAAAAUCAUGUACCGAAGCUUAGGGCUUUGCUUUGCAAAGCGGUAGCGGAGCGUUCCGUAGGCCUGCGAAGCAGUCGUGUCAACGACUGUGGAGGUAUCGGAAGUGCGAAUGCUCGUAUGAGUAGCGACAAACAGAGUGAGAGACUCUGUCGCCGAAAUCCCAAGGGUUCCUGCAUUAUGUUAAUCAGAGCAGGGUUAGUCGGCACCUAAGGCGAGGCCGAAAGGCGUAGUCGAUGGAAAUCAGGUUAAUAUUCCUGAACCGAGUGGAUGUGACGCAUCUCGUAAAUUGUUCCUCCUUAUUGGAUUGGUAGGGGCAGUGAAGAGGUGCCAGGAAAUAGCACCACAUUAAGACCGUACCCGAAACCGACACAGGUGGGAAGGUAGAGUAUACCAAGGCGCUUGAGAGAACGAUGUUGAAGGAACUAGGCAAAUUGCACGCGUAACUUCGGGAUAAGCGUGACCCAUUUGUACGCAAGUAUGAAUGGGUGUCACAAGCCAGGGGGUGGCGACUGUUUAUUUAAAACACAGGGCUCUGCGAAGGCUCCCAAGCCGACGUAUAGGGUCUGACGCCUGCCCGGUGCUGGAAGGUUAAGAUGAGAGGUGAGAGCUUUGAAUCGAAGCCCCAGUAAACGGCGGCCGUAACAAUAACGGUCCUAAGGUAGCGAAAUUCCUUGUCGGGUAAGUUCCGACCCGCAUGAAUGGCGUAACGAUCUCCCCACUGUCUCCAGCAUCGACUCAGCGAAAUUGAAUUCUCCGUGAAGAUGCGGAGUACCCGUGGUUAGACGGAAAGACCCCGUGCACCUUUACUGCAAUUUUACAUUGGUAUUAGGCGUCGUUUGUGAU